rnacentral:rRNA from 1 species
UACGAAGGGUGCAAGCGUUGUUCGGAAUCACUGGGCGUAAAGAAUGCGUAGGCGGCUUGACAAGUCAGGAGUGAAAUCCCAGGGCUCAACCCUGGAACUGCUUUUGAAACUGUCUUGCUAGAGUCCCGGAGGGGUUAGCGGAAUUCCGAGUGUAGAGGUGAAAUUCGCAGAUAUUCGGAGGAACACCAGUGGCGAAGGCGGCUAACUGGACGGGAACUGACGCUGAGGCAUGAAAGUGUGGGGAUCAAACAGG